rnacentral:rRNA from 1 species
UACGUAGGGGGCUAGCGUUGUCCGGAAUCAUUGGGCGUAAAGAGCGUGUAGGCUGCUCGGUAAGUCCGCUGUAAAAGUCAAAGGCUCAACCUUUGAAUGUCAGUGGAUACUGCCGGGCUAGAGUCCGGAAGAGGCGAGUGGAAUUCCUGGUGUAGCGGUGAAAUGCGUAGAUAUCAGGAGGAACACCGGUGGUGUAGACGGCUCUCUGGACAGUAACUGACGCUGAGACACGAAAGCGUGGGUAGCAAACAGG